rnacentral:rRNA from 1 species
AAGGCCAUACCACCCUGAACGCGCCCGAUCUCGUCUGAUCUCGGAAGCUAAGCAGGGUCGGGCCUGGUUAGUACCUGGAUGGGAGGUCAUUCCAAAAAGAGAAGAUAAUCCUUU